rnacentral:rRNA from 1 species
UACGUAGGGUGCAAGCGUUAAUCGGAAUUACUGGGCGUAAAGCGUGCGCAGGCGGUGAUGUAAGACAGAUGUGAAAUCCCCGGGCUCAACCUGGGAACUGCAUUUGUGACUGCAUCGCUGGAGUGCGGCAGAGGGGGAUGGAAUUCCGCGUGUAGCAGUGAAAUGCGUAGAUAUCGUUUGGAACGCCAAUGGUGAAAACAGGUUGCUGGGAGUGUGCUGACGCUGAGACACGAAAGCCAGGGGAGCGAACGGG